rnacentral:rRNA from 1 species
AUGAACGCUAGCGGCAGGCUUAAACAUGCAAGUCGAGGGGCAACACGGGUAGCAAUACCUGGGUGGCGACCGGCGCAAGGGUGCGUAACGCGUGAGCAACAUGCCCUAUACAGGGGGAUAAUCCAGGGAAACUUGGUCUAAUAUCCCAUAGUAUUUAGAGGUGGCAUCACCACUAAAUUAAAGCUUCGGUGGUAUAGGAUUGGCUCGCGUGACAUUAGCUGGAUGGUGGGGUAACGGCUCACCAUGGCGAUGAUGUCUAGGGGUUCUGAGAGGAAGACCCCCCACACUGGGACUGAGACACGGCCCAGACUCCUACGGGAGGCAGCAGUGAGGAAUAUUGGACAAUGGAUGGAAAUCUGAUCCAGCCAUGCCGCGUGCAGGAAGACGGCCCUAUGGGUUGUAAACUGCUUUUAUAUGGGAGCAAUAAGGUUUACGCGUAGACCGAUGAGAGUACCAUAUGAAUAAGCAUCGGCUAACUCCGUG